GGCCGUGGAAUCUGUAGCGCGUGCCGCGGCGAGGUCCCUGGGCGACGCUGGCGAUGAGUAACGCAUCUGAGGGACCAUUCCGGCACCGCACAGUCGAUACCAUCACGCAAUGACCCUCACUCGUCUACGAGCUCGCCACAGGUGUCGAAGUCACUCAUCGUGUCUCGCUCUCGGAAAAUUUCGCCCUCCACGAUCUCAUGUAAUAUUCGACCUCGUCGGCUCAACUCCGCGGAGGGGUUCGCCACGUUUUUGCAGCGUGAACAGAAAGUUUUUGGGAGGAGGUCGCAAAUCAAUCUGAACAAGUAGACACCGUUCCAACGAAUAACCGAAAAAAUUGGUCUCGAAUAUCUUCUGUUCGUUGGAAUUUCGACGAGAGCGUAGCUCAACUGACCCACAUUGGACUUUACACACCAAGAAUAGUGAUUACCAAAUUCUGGUGUAUGAUCAAAACUUACUGAUCUUUUUAUUUAUUUUCGUCCGUAAAACAUCUAAUCCAAACAAAUGAAACGACGGAUAAUCCGAACGGAGAGUGUGUAGCCCGUCAUAUCGUCCAGACUGCGACAGGUAAUUCCCAGAUUUCACAAUGCCUCAGGAUCAUCUAAGUAAUUAAAUUGUUAUCGUGCUUGAGUGUUUUGGGGUAGAGUUAGUACAUACUGAAGCAAUUGGAUCAACCAAUUUAAUAAUUAAAUAAUUAAUCAAUGUAGAGUUUUACUUCUUAUAAAUAGAUAGCGUUAACCCUCUAUUGCAUGAAUUAAUUUUGGAUCACGGAUUCUGAAAUACACAAUUUUUCUGAAGGAUCUUUGAAAAAAUUGUGUCCCAAAUUCUUUUUUUGGGUGGGAGGGGGCUCUUCCCCCCAAAUGGCCCCCCAAAGUGGUAGUUACAUAUAUGUAGGUCCAUGCAACUUUGAUAAACAAAUUAAAAAGAGAAAUUUCGUGAGAAAUUAUGUGAUUCCAUGCGACUUUGGUAAAAACCCUAAAAAGAGAUGUUACAUGAAGUACAUGCGUACGUACAUUUCAUUGAAAAAAAGAAAAUAUCAGUCUUAGGAGAGAUUAGAUAUUAGGAAAACACUUUUUUGCCGGCAUAAAUCAAAUUAUGGGUGAAUAUUAGCUAUAUGUUUAUUUUUAUUGGCCACAGUUGAUUGCAUGGAAUGACAUAUAUGUAAUUUGCCAUUUUCGCUACCAGAGCUAGUUGCAUGAGAUCACAUAUAUGUUAUUUGAUUUUAAAUUAAUUUAUUAAAAACCCAUUUUGCAUCUAAUAUAUUCUGUUGUCACAUAAAAAACUACAACGUGAGGUGCAAAUGCACAUAUGUUUUUCAUUGUCAUACGACCACUCUAACCAACCUAAAUCCUGCGCCGAAAAUGCGUUUGCGGAGCCGACCUCCGCUGACCGCGGUCGCCGAAUUAAAACACGUUUUAACUUAAUUUAGCAACACUGGAGUGGGUCCACUAUUUUUAACCAAUAGAAUUCAACCUUGAGCUUGCGUAGGUACAUUCAGAAACAUUUUGCGCGCGUGCAGAAUUUUUAAAAAAUGAAAAUACGUUAAUUUACAUACAUGUAGACAUAUGCAAUAGAGGGUUAAGGAAACUAGCCACUAUGACAUCAGGACUUAUUUUAAAAGAGAUUAUUUAGUGAGCGGGAAGGGUUUCAUAAUGUAUAUGAAGGCUUUAUUUGGGAUGGUUUCAUACAAAACGCGUCAUGCCGAUUAGAAUAUUAAUAAAAGUUGAAUAGCUAGUUGAGUGAUCUUGAGCAGUUAUAGAACGUCUUUCCUUCUAUACUUUUGCAGAAGUGACACUUCUAAAUUAUGAUUAAGCAGGAAUUACAUUAAGCAACUGGGUCGUAUCUACAGGAGGAUUAAAAACUCUUAAAAGACGAGAGUAAAAUGGAGCUUUUAGUGGUUUUCAAGAGUGCUAGGCUCUACAACCAACCAGAUGAUAAGAUGAUUAAUAAAGGCCUAUUAAUUGUUGUCAAUAGAAAAAUGUUGAGUCCGAAAGUGAAAAAGAAAAUAGAAUCAUCCGAAACCAAGCCUCCAUACAAAUGAAUUUCAUCAAAAUUCUUCCGCCAAACAGACAUUUUCCCCCUAAAAUUAACGUGAUUCACCGAAAAAAAAGAAGAUGCUGUAGUAACAUCCCGAAUGUUACGGUUGUUAAAAAAAUGUGCGACAACUCUUGGAUGUUGCUAUUAACACUCUGGCAGUUAACGUAGCAUGAUAGAAUGUAAAAGUACCAUCCUAGGAUGUUACUUUAACAGCCAGAGUGGUAAUGACAACAUCCAAGAGUUUGUCGCACAUUUUUCUUACAUCCAGGAUGUUACUACAGCACCUCUUUUUUUUCGGUGUUGGAUUGCCUAUCAAACUGAAAUUUCAUUGCACAUUUAUCCUUGACCGAUACUGCUUGAACAUGUUUUUCUCUCAGUUGUGAGGUCCAAUUGAACAUAUCUCUGCCAAACGGAGCUACCGACGAGUGGGAAAGAUGGGAUGUGCCCGUUGAAGCUGCAUAAGGAACAAUGUUAAAGUGGUCGUGAUUCCCUUUGGAGAAAUGAAAAAGCGGAAUUUUACACUCAAUCAAACGGUACUAAGCGCCAACAGAAUGCGACACCCAUGAGCCAUGGGCAUAGGACAAAAGCCUUGUGGACAGAGCUCAUGAGUUAAUGACCCCGUCCCGUCCCUGAGCCGCGGCGGCGGUUUCGUCGCUGCAUGCUAAGGUCACUGGCGUUUUCUAAUACCCAGUUAUUUUAUGGCCCUCGACUAACUAGCACACCCUUUCUUUCCCACCUUUCUAUAGUUCUGUGUGGCAGAAAUGCGUCCAAUGGAGAUUUUGCAUGUGUGAGGAAUUUGCGAUUUGACUGUUGAUUCUUAUGCAAAAGUUCGCGAGAAAACGAUGGUGCCACUGGUUUUCUCUGAAAUCAACUCCAAAGCCCAAAAAAAGCUCUCAAGUUGAGGCUACAAUGGAGGUGAUAUCCCACCCUACCCUGAGAGUCCACGUCUACAUCAAGACAAACUCUCCAUGCAAAGAUAGGGAGCAAAUUCAUUGACAGGGUUGCCGUUUUUUCAGUUUGGAGUCCCCAAAUAAAGUGGCAGCCCUGUCAAUGUAUUUCUCCCUAUCUUUGCAUGGAGAGUUUGUCUUGAUGUAGACGUGGACUCUCAGGGUAGGGUGGGAUAUCCCCUCCAUUUUGGCCUCAAAUUGAGAGCUUUUUUUGAGCUUAGGAGUUGAUUUCAGAGAAAACCAGUGGCACCAUCGUGUUUCUCGCCAACUUUUACAAAAGAAUUAAUUGUCAAAUCGCAAAUUCCUCACACAUGCAACACCUCCAUUGUAGGAACCAUUUGGAACUUCAUUGCGACUUCACCUCUAUAGAAUUUUCCUUGAGAACGCUUUUUUCUCGGGUCUGUACAUCGACCUGAGAUUUCACUACAAUUUUGCAAAUAGAAAAUAUCAUUUGGACGUAUUUCUAUCAAACAGAACUAUGUGCCGGGGAAAGAUGGGGUGUGCUCGUUUGGUGCUCGGGCCAUAAGAAUGAAUGAUAAUAUACAGCGCCAGUGACGAAGCCGCCGCCGCGGUGCCGUUCGACCGUCUUUAACUCAUGAGCCCUGUUCACAACGCUCUAGAUACAUGCCUACGGCUCAUACACUGCGCACAUAGUUCCGUUGACAGAACGUGAAAUCCCGCUUCUCAAAUUCAGCAAACAGAACUGUGAGGCAAACUAAGUGCGGCGCCCAUUUCAAGCAUGCUUUCCUCUUCAGGUGUGUGAAUUUGAAGCGGGUGAAGAUGCUGCAGCGA
rnacentral:lncRNA from 1 species